UACGUAGGGGGCAAGCGUUGUCCGGAAUCAUUGGGCGUAAAGCGCGUGUAGGCGGCUCGAUAAGUCUGCUGUGAAAGUCCAAGGCUCAACCUUGGGAUGCCGGUGGAUACUGUCGAGCUCGAGUCCGGAAGAGGCGAGUGGAAUUCCCGGUGUAGCGGUGAAAUGCGCAGAUAUCGGGAGGAACACCAACGGCGAAGGCAGCACUCUGGGCCGGUACUGACGCUGAGGAGCGAAAGCGUGGGGAGCAAACAGG
rnacentral:rRNA from 1 species